AGUCUUAAUGCUAUUUCAGUGGAUGCAAAUAGCAUCAGGUGUGAACUCUACAUAGCAUAAGAAGAGCAGGCAAUAGAUGGAAGAGGAAUAAAGGAAAGGCUAAGGAGGGAUUCCAUCCUGUGCAGCUGAUAGGCAUGUGAGAUAUAGCUGCUAUCCUAGAAAAGGUACAUCUACAUUUAUUUCAGUCUCUGAAUACCAAACAGCUUGGAUCUGGGACUCCAGAGCUAACAGUCAGAAAGAAUUCUGAAGGGUGCUCUCAGUAAGUGCUAAUUUUUGUCCUGCUGAUGUGAGCAGUUAAGGGCUGCUGCCACAGUCAAACUCAGACCUUCAGUCCUGAGCAUCUCUGAGACUUCAUUUCUCUGGUGAGAUUGUACAACAUUGGCACCUCUUUGCCACCUUGGCUGC
rnacentral:lncRNA from 1 species